AAGACCAUUGAAGGAAAAUCCGUAUUCCAGUAGUAAGUUGUACAAAUGUACUAAUGCCAAAACGAUUCAACCACUACGAGGUAAGAACCGAUCCCGGAGUGCCAACAAUACUGGGUCCACGGUUUAAGAAGGAUUGUUUAAUGUCUCCAUCAAAUGCAGCUGUCUCCUGUCUGCAUUGAAUGCAGACUAUAUUCUGUCUCCAUCGAAAGCGGAAGCCUUGGUGGAUGAGAUUUGCAACUACUUGUCUCAGGCACAACAUGGAUCGGCAACACCACCGAUUCCGGAAUCGAAAAAGAAAACAUUCUCCUUUCUACAGCAGAAAGUUGUUAGGACAAGUCAGCAAAAAAAAAAUCUAUUAUAGCAAUUUGGCAAUAUUUGAAGAUUCAAUAUUUGAAUUUACCUAAGUAGCCCCAGCGUUUAGCGUUCUACAAGAUCGCCCAAAACAAAGCUUUAAGAGCUAUAACCGAAGCUCACCUGUACCACGAUAACGCAACAAUCCACGCCCAACUGGGAGUCCCAUCCGUGUAAGCAGAAGUUCAGCGAUUCGCCAACAGAUACGUGGAGAGACUGGAUCGACAUCCCAACCAUGAGGCCAUCAACCUGUUAGACAACAGCUACACCACUAGGAGGCUGAAACGGACUCACCCACUGGACCUUUGCCACUCGAACGAAUAGGACUGAGCUGCAUUUCUAGAUUUAUCCACGCCCACUAAAGGGUUCACCAUAAAAUUCUAAUUGAAACGUCAAGGCUUAAACAAAAAUUAAAGUUAAAAGUAGUUCGUAGGACAA